UACGGAGGGUGCAAGCGUUGUCCGGAUUUAUUGGGCCUAAAGCAUCCGUAGCCGGCCUUACAAGUCCUCCGUUAAAUCCAGCUGCUUAACAGAUGGGCUGCGGAGGAUACUAUAAGACUAGGAGGCAGGAGAGGCAAGCGGUACUCAGUGGGUAGGGGUAAAAUCCGUUGAUCCAUUGAAGACCACCAGUGGCGAAGGCGGCUUGCCAGAAUGCGCUCGACGGUGAGGGAUGAAAGCUGGGGGAGCAAACCGG
rnacentral:rRNA from 1 species